rnacentral:lncRNA from 12 species
AUGCAUCUGCCCCGCCCCACUGCCCCAGAUCGCUGCUCCGGCCGCAUCUCGCAGCGAACUCCCCAGAACCAGCGCUGCCCGCAGCCCUGCCCCGCUGCCACACACCUGCCCGUGUGUGCGUGGCACGGCAGCCCCGGGCUGAUCUGUGCCCGUCCAGUGCCGGUCCGUGCCCAUCCUGUGCCAGUCUGUGCCCGUCCAGUGCUGGUCCGUGCCCAUCCCGUGCCGGUCCGUGCCCAUCCUGUGCCGGUCCGUGCCCAUCCAGUGCCAGUCUGCCGGUCCGUGCCCAUCCAGUGCCGGUCCGUGCCCAUCCAGUGCCGGUCCGUGCCCAUCCAGUGCCGGUCCGUGCCCAUCCAGUGCCGGUCCGUGCCCAUCCAGUGCCGGUCCGUGCCCAUCCAGUGCCGGUCCGUGCCCAUCCAGUGCCGGUCCGUGCCCAUCCAGUGCCGGUCCGUGCCCAUCCAGUGCCGGUCCGUGCCCAUCCAGUGCCGGUCCAUGUCCAUCCCGUGCUGGUCCGUGCUGGUCCGUGCCCAUCCCGUGCCGGUCCGUGCCCAUCCUGUGCCGGUCCGUGCCCAUCCAGUGCCAGUCUGUGCCCAUCCAGUGUCGGUCCGUGCCCAUCCAGUGCCGGUCCGUGCCCGUCCCGUGUCAAUCCGUGCCCAUCCUGGGCCAGUCCGUGCCCAUCCCGUGCCAGUCCGUGCCCAUCCAGCGUCGGUCCGUGCCCAUCCCGUGCCGGUCCGUGCCCAUCCAGUGCCGGUCCGUGCCCAUCCAGUGCCGGUCCAUGUCCAUCCCGUGCUGGUCCAUGCCCAUCCAGCGUCAGUCCGUGCCCAUCCAGUGCCAGUCCGUGCCCAUCCCGUGUCGGUCCGUGCCCAUCCCGUGUCGGUCCGUGCCCAUCCCGUGCCGGUCCGUGCCUCAGCCCAGCCGGGAGCAGCGGCUCCGGCUCCGGCAGACACAAAACACAUCCUGGAGAGCAGCGCAGCCCGCGCCAGCCCCAAACCGCUCCGAGCAUCUGCCAGCCCGAAGGAAAACCAGGAUGGAGAGCGGCUCCUUUGGUUUUUCCGUUCCCUGACAGCCAAAUGCCUUUCUCCUUCCUCCAAGGAAACUUUCCAGCCCAACCCCAGUCACAUGCAAGAGGUCAGCAGCUGGAAAAGCAAGAGAUUAGCAAGUACUGGGGUUUUUUUCCUCUUCCCUCCCAAGAAGACACAGGGUUUUCCUAGAAAAAGCCCAAUAAACACGAGGAUUACAGUCGGAGGACGAAGAAGUGUGAAAGCAGAGUGACAGGAACUUAAGAAACACAAAAAAAAAAAAAAAAAAAAAAAAAAAGAAAACCCCCCCCCCCCCCCCCCCCCCCCCCCCCCCCCCCCCCCCCCCCCCCCCCCCCCCCCCCCCCCCCCCCCCCCCCCCCCCCCCCCCCCCCCCCCCCCCCCCACAAAAAAAAAAAAAAAAAAAAAAAAAAGAGAGAACCAGAAGUUGCAACAAGCAGCAUGAAAGCAUCAAAAAAUUUCCUUUCCUCACUGCAAAACCAAAACCAUUCAUGCAAGCGUCCCUGGGGGGGUCCAAGCCUGGGAGUGGGAUGGUAUCCCAGAGAGAUCCCAGUUUAUCCAGGAUGCCAGCCUCUGCAGGAACAGGGUUACACAGCCAUCAUGAUACAGAGGGAAAAAAUGAAAAAGGAAAAAGAGCAUAAAAUAUUUAAAAAAAAAAAAAAGCACAAUAGGGAAAGCUGUGGAGAAGCAGAUUCCAUGCUGCCAGCCUGCAUCAACUCUGGAAUAUUCAAAGCUAAAGCAAUGGGACCAUCACUUCAUCAAAGAGAAUAAGCAACAGAAUACAUGGGAUUUAGAGAUAUUGCCAAAUAAUUAAUUAGCAGGAUUACUCCUGAGAAUUGCUGCCAGCUGAAAACCCCUGAACACAGGCAUGGGGAGGGCACUGGUCUCAGCAUUCCCACAUCCUGCAGCCUGGCAUCCACCUCUGAUGCUGGUUGCAAUAAUGGGGGUGACACAAGCUAUAAAAAUAUAGGCUUGUAGACAUCAGUACAGCUGCUCCAGAGUUUGAAAUGGGUGUUUUCCCUCCAGGGUGGAUCUUCCAGGAGAAUGCUCUAAUCCCAGCUUUGGAACACACCCUACUUGCAGAUCUCCAGAGUGGACAUCCCUUAAAAUCAGUGUCCACAGACAGUUCCUCCUUUUGUAUUUACAUUUGCAGAGACAUUAUUCCUCAGGAUUCGGUGCCUUGCUGGAGCAGCUGCUAUUAACUCCUUGCCUGAAGCUGGAUGAGCAAGCAGCCCUCUAAUGAUGCAGAUAAUUAUGGACAGGGGUUAGGGAGAGUCCAGCAAAGCAUGUUGAUCCCAUCCUACAGCUUAUAGCGACAUGAGGAGCUCAUUAAAUGUUGGACACAUGGUUAGGAGCCAGGGUAGGAAGAGGACACUUAAACCAUGAGUUCUGUCACUGAUUCCAGGGUCUGGCCUGCCUGGGGUUCCUGUCCUAUGGACACCCUUGGUGGAGACAGCUGGCAAAGCCUGGGCAAUCCAUCACCUGCCUCCAGGAGCAUCCCAAGGGAGAGACCAGCAGCAAAGACAGGGAAAUUCAGCAGAGCUUCUCAAAAAGCUCCACAAGACUUUAUUCAGCUCAUCUCACCAAGAGAUGGAGAUCAGACUUGCCAAGCAGCCAGCAUCAACCCACUGGACAUCACCCUACUGAUCCAAUGGGAGAGAUGGUGUCCAAGCUGAGGAACACAAAAAAACCCCCCAAAAAAACCAGAGGAAGAACUUUCCUUUGUUCUCCACUCCCCAGAACAAUAAAACACCACUGGUUCACCCUGCAAAGACCUGACAUGAAAAGAUCAAUGGGGAAAGGUCCAGCUGAUCAUUUUCCUGCAUCCUCAGCUCUCCCUGGAAACAAUCCUGUCCCGUGGGAGAAGAGAGCUUCAGGCACACGGAGUGGGACAGGACAGGGUUUAUCCUGCACCAACAUGCCCAGAUCCUGUCCACACCAGCAUUGGGUGGGGGACGGGCAGGGACCCCUCCUACCCCUUUGGGAUCUCCAGGCGACUGGAGCACAUCCAUCCACCAGCCAGAGGAUGCUCAGGGAUGGGGGAAAAAAAGGCUCAGACCACUUCAAUCCUCCUCAGCCCGUUGUUCCGCACGGGAGCGACGCCGUCCUGAGCCGCACACGGGGCACGUCCUCCCCUCCCAGGGCCUCCGCGAGGAUUUCCCUUCCCUACCCCGGCUCCCCGGCAUUCCAUCCACCCGGACCCAUCGCAGCCAGCCCACCCCGUGCCACGGGGAGAUGCCAGACCCUCCGAGCCCGGGGCUCUGGGCUGGGAUCUCCUUCCCCGGGAGUGGCCGUGGGCAGCAGCGAUGCCAAAGGCCGUCUUUUCCCGGCGAGAUUCCCGGGUUUGUUUUGCCGGGAAUGGGGAGACAGCAGAUGGAAGGGCACUGGGAGAGCGGGGGUUUUCCUCUCGCCGCUGCCCACACUCACACUUCAGCGCUGAUUAAUUGCGGUAAUUAGAAAAAUAAUCAUAAUAAUCAUUUUUCAAACCCCCACAAAACGUAGAAAUAAAGCCGCUUUCUCCCUUCCCGAUGUGCCGCGCUCGCCAGGACACAGAUGCCAAAGGCGUGGGAUGCACGGUGGGGGUCCGAGCCGGGGAACCCCCCUACCCCCAUUCUGCAUCCCUAUGCCAGCCCUGCCUGGCAAAGCUCCUGCCCUGCCCAGGGUGCCCCCUCCGACCCCUCCAGCUCCCCAAAAACACCGCGGCUUUGCUUCCCACCCUUCUUCUUCUGCUCAACGCCCCCCGGGCUGCAGACCCGCUCCGGACACGCGGACCGGGGGGGACCCGGGGGGACCCCGGUGCAGACUCACCAUGGGGCGGCUCGGGGGGGUCGGAGCGGCGGGAGGGAGGAUGCGGGGCCGGCCCGAGGGGCGGCCCCCCCCCCCCCCCCCCCCCCCCCCCCCCCCCCCCCCCC